GGGGGCGUGGCUCAGUGGAAGAGCCUCUGCUUUGCAUGCAGAAGCUCCCAGGUUCAAGCCCUGGCGUCUCCG